GGCUUGGCCGAGCGGUCCACCUUACGGGUGGUACUGCUUGGUUUCGCCUUUCCUUCUGGCGAACCAGCUUCCCCUUAACUGGGUGGGUUGGGGAACCAGAACUUUUACCUUGAAAAAAUUAGAGUGUUUAAAGCAGGCUUAUGCUUGAAUACAUUAGCAUGGAAUAAUAGAAUAGGACUU
rnacentral:rRNA from 1 species